ACGGAGGAUGCGAGCGUUAUCCGGAUUCAUUGGGUUUAAAGGGUGCGCAGGCGGACUAAUAAGUCAGCGGUGAAAUACUACGGCUUAACUGUAGCUGUGCCGAUGAUACUGUUAGACUAGAGAUUAAAUGAGGUUGGCGGAAUGUGUCAUGUAGCGGUGAAAUGCAUAGAUAUGACACAGAACACCGAUAGCGAAGGCAGCUGACCAAUUUAUAUCUGACGCUCAUGCACGAAAGCGUGGGGAUCAAACAG
rnacentral:rRNA from 1 species